rnacentral:rRNA from 1 species
AUUGAACGCUGGCGGCAGGCCUAACACAUGCAAGUCGAGCGAGCGGCGGACGGGUGAGUACUGUCUGGGAAACUGCCUGAUGGAGAGGGAUAACUACUGGAAACGGUAGCUAAUACCGCAUACCAUCAGAUGUGCCCAGAUGGGAUUGGCUAGUAGGUGGGGUAACGGCUCACCUAGGCGACGAUCCCUAGCUGGUCUGAGAGGAUGAUCAGCCACACUGGAACGGAGACACGGUCCAGACGCCUACGGGAGGCAGCAGUGGGGAAUAUUGGACAAUGGGCGAAAGCCUGAUGCAGCCAUGCCGCGUGUGUGAAGAAGGCCUUCGGGUUGUAAAGCACUGUCAGCGGGGAGGCGUUACCCGCAGAAGAAGCACCGGCUAACUCCGUGCCAGCAGCCGCGGUAAUAC